GGGGCCCGGGGGUGGGGGUGGGAGCAGUGUUUCUCGAAGGAAGCCAGUCCCGGCAGCUUGGGGGCUCCCAGCAGCCCUGUGAAGGGAAGAAGAGAGAAAGGGUGCCCGGUAGCGGCGCCUGGGAAGCACUCUCUCCGUCCUCCCAACGCACUUAGGGAGGAAGAGGUCAAGCCCCCGAUGAGCAACAGUACGCCUGAGACAGAGGACUCGGAAGGGGAAGGGCUUGCUCCGGCUGCGGUUUUGGUGGUGCCAGCUCACAAUUGGACAGGACCCUUGCUCCUAGGCCCCGGGACCCCAGGUGACCCUGGCAGGGGGCGUGUGGUGGACCAAACAGGAAGUGAAAGAGGAAGAGGAGGCUCUGGGGUCCGCAGGCCCCAUCAGCACACGAAUUCAGUGUCCUAGAGAGCGCCGAAUGGGACCCAGGCCCUAAAGGCUCCGGCAGCUCCCGUGGCGCUGCCCUGGAGACAACGCCUCUAAAGCGUGGACCUUUGGACCAAACCGCGGUGGGCUCAGAGAGGGCGGUGAUUCGCCUGAGGUCACACAGCUGGAGUCAGAUUUCCAGUUCACUCCGGCCUGCAAUCCUGUCUGCAUCCCCUGCCGCCUCCCCAACGCCCCCACCAACCAUAGCGCACUCACCCGCAUCCUGUCCCUGCCUGUGUCCCUGUUCCUGCGUCACCGCUGCCAUCGCUGAUUAACUUUCUGUUUGCCUGCGUUAUCUGGACCAGGGCUCUGCCUUUCCAAAGAGCUCACACGUAAACGGAGAAGCAAAUAGUUAUCUAGGGUGGUGACAGACAUUGCUGAGAAGAAAAUGGAGCAGGACAAUGGAGUGGAGAGUGAUACAGAGAGGAAAAGAGAAAUGCAGGAGCAAAGUCAACUGGUUGCCAUGGAGACAAUAAUCCCCCCUCCCACCUCAAUUUUUUUUACUACCUGGCCCUUGGCGUGAAAAGUGGGCCAAACCCUGUAAACCAAGAUGAGGAGCCGAGGUUCAGAGAGGCUGAGGGACUCGCUCCUGUGAAUUCAGCAAGCAAGGACAGGCCUGGGGUUUGAACCUGGAACCUCAGACUUCUAGGUAGGUGCUUUUUUGUGCCCCAAAUGUCACCCUUGCUUUCUUCCAGGCUCCCUUCCCACGAGGUCCCCCAGUGCUCACCGGGGCUUCUCCAGUGACAGCCGAGGACUACCGGGGUCAGGCAUGGCUGCUUUAAGGGACACUGCGCCAGAAAAAGGGAGUGAGGUGGAAGAAUUCCUUUUCUUCCUUUGCGUUGUUGAAGAGUGAAAGCACAGGUCUCAUUUUCUAUGCAAGUCCACCAGAACCAGUGGUGCUGACAAGGAGCUGACCCUUCACGGCCAUGCUGGGUCCAGUUCCCUCCAAGGGACCAUCGCCAUCCUGGCAAGGCUCGGGGGCUGGGAUGGGGAGGCCCUGCUCCGGGUCCCUGGGAGACAGACUCCUUCCCACACCCACACCCAGACUCCUCCUCCGAUACCUCCCUCACCGCAUCCCCAUUGCGGGUCCCUGGGGCCCAGCAACUUUGGGGGCUGCUUCCUCUUGCCUGGCCCUGGCAGCUUUAUUUCAAACUGAGGCGCGAUUACAGAUCCAGUUCUUUUUUCCUUUUUCUUUUCAAUAAAGCUGUUUUGUGUCUCCACCGCCCCCCUCUGCUGCAUUCCUCCCAUCUGAGUCGUCCCCUUGCCCCUCCUGUAGGAAAUGUCUCGGAUUCUCUCACUGGGGUGUAAUGGUUAAAUUGCUACCAGCUGAUUAAACAGCAGCAGCGAAGAAACUGUAAUCCUCAGCCUGGGGAACCUGGGAAGGCAGGGAAUGAAGACCAGAUGACAAAGAGGCGCCCCUGCCCUGGCCCUUCCUCCUGGGAAAUCUUUCCCACACCUGCCCCCCACUCAGGAAGGAGCGGAAAGACAGGAGCAAGAGAUCAGAGAGGGCUCUCUUGGAAGACGGAAAAGGCAGGCUUGGGGUUUUCUCCACCCAACCGAAACGAGAUCAUGAAGUCAGUGCUGACUUUCUUGGAGCCUCUCUGAGCCUCGUUUGUAGGUAGGGACAGUGGCCUUGCAAGGGGGCCACAAGGAUCGAGGGUCUAAUGCACCUCAGAGCACCCACCCGACCCUGAGUUAUGAGAAUGAACUGCUGAGAUUGGGGUGCAACGCAACCGAAAUAGCCUCCCAACAAGGGCCACCGGAAAAGCCAUGUGCCUCUGGGCUGCUUGCUGGACUCUCCGAUCCUUACCUCUUCACCUGCAAAUUGGCCUGGGACAGCUGGGGGAGCCCCCGGGUGUUCCAGAGUCAAUGGGUACCAGGAUCCCACCAGAGAGUAGCUCUGUCCCCUGUCAGCUCAGGCUGUGGGCUAAGAAUAGCAGGGCAACCAGCCUCCUUGGGAAAGUUUAUUUCUGUGGAAAGUCUAGUUCAGUCGAGUGGAGAAUCUGGCCUUGAUUUCCCCCCCACGCCCCCCACACCCCGCUCAGAAACCAGACAGACGUGUGCCCGGAUGAAGGAGGAACUGAUGCACGGCGUGGGAGAAGUGGCCACCCGUCUCGGCAGCGACCUUUCUCUUUCCACUGGGGAGAAAAGGCCACCACGUGGGAGACGAGAAGGCAGAGGGUCUGGCCACCAAGGGCUGCAGGUCAGGCUUGUUUCUGGGGGGAACCUAGUGGUGCCCCCCAGUCUACAACCUUAGGAGUGACCUUAUUUAGGGUUACGGUCUCUGAAGACGUAAUUAAGGCAAGAAUAGAGAUAAGAUCACACUGAGUUAAGAUUUGCCCUACAUUCACAGGAGUGUCCUCACAGAAGACAGGAAUGGAAGGACAAACAUCAGAUGCAGGGAUGGAGCGAAGCUGCGGAAGCAGCUCCAGGAACCUCCGGAAGUUGAAAGAGGCAAAGACUACUUCUCCUCCAGAGAUUUUUGCAGUAAUUUCUUAGAGCAGCCUCAGGAAACCAAUACGCCUUGCAAAAGCCAUGAUGCCAUUUUGCAGAUGGGGCAGCUGAGGCACAAGGAAGAAAAGCCCUCUGUCUAAAAAAAAAUUAAGACGUGUUAUGUACAUGCCACCAACUCCCCAUGAUAAAAACAAGUGUUACGUGCUGCAAACAUGCACAUACUGAUACAAAAUAAAAGCGGGCAGUUGGGAGUGAAGGCAGGAUUCCAACUCGGGUCUGUCUGAACCUCGUAUGGCCAAGGCCACCCUUCGAGAAGGGGCAUUUCUGUAGGAGAGAAGUUCCAGCAAAGAGCCAGGGAGGCUGAGGUGAGAUCUGCUGCCAGCAUGCUCUCCUAGGCUGUGUGUCCAUGGGGGUCCCACCAGCACCCCACCCAGCCCCAGCUCCAUCCACCCCCAAGCCUCCUCUCUCCAGAGCUGAGAAGUGCCAUGGGAACUCAAGGGACAAGGGACAAAGCAGCUCUGCUCACAGCUGGACCAGAACCAUCUUCCUCUACGGAAGCUGCCUGACCUCAGGGUGGGCAAAGAGGUACUGACCCUGCCCUGCGGCCCAUGGCUGAGUGUUUACCUAGAAGUGGGGGCAGGCAGGCACCCAGGCAAUAGCAUUUAAGGAGGUUCUGGCUCUCAAGGUCCUGCAAAUGCCAACUUUGGGCUUGUGUGGAUAUGCAAAUGAGUGCUUCCUUAAAAGCUUCCUGCCCUAUUCCUGCCCUUACCUAGGGUUGAUUUAUAGAGGACCAAAAGACCUGGGGGUGGGGCAUUGGCAGCUGUUGGUCUUCAGAGUCUCACAGACAGGGGUUCAAAUCCUGAUUUUAGCCACUUAGUACCUGAGUGACCGUGGAUGGGUCUGUUCCUAUGCAUGGACUCAAUUUUCUCAUCUA